UACGGAGGGUGCAAGCGUUAUCCGGAUUCACUGGGUUUAAAGGGUGCGUAGGUGGGCUGGUAAGUCAGUGGUGAAAUCUCCAGGCUUAACUUGGAAACUGCCAUUGAUACUAUCAGUCUUGAAUACCGUGGAGGUCAGCGGAAUAUGUCAUGUAGCGGUGAAAUGCUUAGAUAUGACAUAGAACACCAAUGGCGAAGGCAGCUGGCUACACGAAUAUUGACACUGAUGCACGAAAGCGUGGGGAGCAAACAGG
rnacentral:rRNA from 1 species